rnacentral:rRNA from 1 species
CCUACGGGUGGCAGCAGUGGGGAAUAUUGGACAAUGGGCGAAAGCCUGAUCCAGCCAUGCCGCGUGUGUGAAGAAGGCCUUCGGGUUGUAAAGCACUUUCAGUGGGGAAGAAAGCCUUGGGGCUAAUACCCUCGAGGAAGGACAUCACCCACAGAAGAAGCACCGGCUAACUCCGUGCCAGCAGCCGCGGUAAUACGGAGGGUGCGAGCGUUAAUCGGAAUUACUGGGCGUAAAGCGCGCGUAGGCGGUCUGAUAAGCCGGUUGUGAAAGCCCCGGGCUCAACCUGGGAACGGCAUCCGGAACUGUCAGGCUAGAGUGCAGGAGAGGAAGGUAGAAUUCCCGGUGUAGCGGUGAAAUGCGUAGAGAUCGAGAGGAAUACCAGUGGCGAAGGCGGCCUUCUGGACUGACACUGACGCUGAGGUGCGAAAGCGUGGGUAGCAAACAGGAUUAGAUACCGUGUAGUC